UACGGGGGGGGCAAGCGUUGUUCGGAAUUACUGGGCGUAAAGGGCUCGUAGGCGGCCAACUAAGUCGGAUGUGAAAUCCCCAGGCUUAACCUGGGAACUGCAUCCGAUACUGGAUGGCUUGAAUCCGGGAGAGGGAUGCGGAAUUCCAGGUGUAGCGGUGAAAUGCGUAGAUAUCUGGAGGAACACCGGUGGCGAAGGCGGCAUCCUGGACCGGUAUUGACGCUGAUGAGCGAAAAGCCAGGGGAGCAAAACGGGG
rnacentral:rRNA from 1 species